GGUUAAAUAGUCAAUCAUGAUUUUAAAUUGCAAAUUUAAAGGUAAUCUUUAGAUUUUUAGCCU
rnacentral:tRNA from 1 species